GUCAUCUUUUUGCCCUGCAAGCACCGAAAGACAAACUUAGUUUUAUUGCAAGUAGCACUGCAUGUGUGCGUUCUGUACAACAGCGCGUAUUAAUUGCUUCAUUAAGAGGACCGCCACGGUGGCGGUAAAUUGAGUUGCGAUGAGGACAGCGAAGAAGAGAACGAGGCACAUCAUUGUUCACGGCGGCCGCGAAGUAGAGCAAAAUCGAGGUAUAACGGAAUGAGUUUCCGAGAUGAACUCUCUGGGGAAGUCGCGGCCAGCCGUUAAAAGAGGGCUGCCUAUUAAUCUGCCGAGACAUCAGUAAAUCAUUGCCGGUUCAGCGACUAUCGGGCGGAAAUCCUCGGCGCGGCUCGCUUCGGCGUCUCGAGACCCAAUUCUACAGACGUUUCAACGAUAUGCCAAUUUUCAAGCUUUCGCAGACGAUGCGUUCGCAAAUUAUCAUUCCAAUACGCAAAAGUAAAGCAAAAGCAAAGGAGUGAAAUUAGGAAGAAAGCGACGUGGUGUACAUACAGAUCGUAUCUUAACAGACCAUCAAGAUACACGAUAAACGUAGAACGGAAAUGAGAGGAUCGAGACAUUUCUCAAUCUAAAAAGUCAAAGUUUAAUUAAGAAACGUGGCAUUAGAUAAAUCAGCGUUAGGAAAUUUAAUGGGAAAUUUCAAGAAAAUUCGAAAUAACAAUGUACGGCGCAUAAAAUAAAAUACCUAUGUGAAUUUCCAUAA